UCCAGAGAGAGUGGACCACAGAGUCAGCUCACAGCCCAGUGGACCACUGCUUCCCUUCUGUCCAGGCAGCCUCAGUCCCUACAGAGUACGCUGCAGCUUUGCAUCACCUCCUUAUUCAUCCCAACCUCUGGGCUGAUAUCUUUCCUUGGAGAAGACAAGAGAAAAGGACAAACCUUCAUCCAGCAGCAUAAUGGAGGUGCUUGGCUUUCCAGAGUACAACAGCAUCAGAAUGGUCACGCCCAUGGUUGCUAGGACUUCUCCUAAUUCCUAGAGACCGACAAUCAAGAGGAGAGGACAGGCAGGUACCAUUCUUAGGAGAAAGAAGGCUGCUUGGCCCUCACUGUGGUGGGUUAUUUGGCUGUCACAGGUCCCAUCACAGUGCUCUACACGUGGUGAAGUAAUGCGGCAAGCUCAACUAGGACAUGGAAAUUAUUCUUCUCCUGUUUCACUUUCCGGUGGUCAUCCCUUGAUUUCUCCAAAGUCCUAAAGACAGUAGUGGGAGGACAGAUGAAAACUGACAUGUCAUCUACUUAGAGCACAUUGGGUUCAUUUCAGGAAAAGAUAAAUAAUUAAAUAAAUGAGAAGAGCUCCUCUGGCCUGUGGAUGUGGUUUAGUGAAGUGCAAAUCCUGAGACAAUGAUGUAGUCUUCUGGCCCAUCACAAAACGGACUGCAUGGGGUAAUACCUGUGAUUUGGUGACCUCCCAGUGUGCUUGCGAGGCCCCAACUACAGGAAAGUGGAGAUUUCCGGUGUGACUCAUGGGAAACAGAAAGAGAAACCCAGCAGUCAGCUGGAAAGAACCGGAACGCUGACAUUUGUGAAUGAGCACACAGCCUUCUCUCAUUGAUCAUUUCUCUCCGAGCAUCCUCUGAGAGCUAUACAUAUACAAUUCUCAGGGCAAAAAUCUUUUCUCUGACAAUGAACAAUCUGUAGUUAUAUCCUGGAUAAGCCCAGCUAGACUCAAAAAUUGGUUACAUGUCAGAUAAGAGCUUGGAGGGCAACUUGGAAUUUCUCAGGGAUGUAAAAUAUCCCUUAGAUGUAGACCAAAACAAAACAAGCAGGAGAAAACCAAUCCAUUAAUCUGCCUGCUUGUCAUCAGAAAAGCAACCUUUGAAAGUCUACAAUAUUUUGAUUUUUCAAAUAGUAAAUCAAGAACAGAAGUCCUUGAAAUAGUCAGCUUAGAGAUUUGUGUGUUAUUAACCUGGGGGUAGGCACCUGUGGGGAAAGCUUCCCACACUGAAAUGCUCUUGGCUUUUAUUUCUCUUGGCAUUGAACUGCUAAAUGCAGUCAAGUGCUAACUCUGAGGCUGGCAAAGGGGAGGCGAUGCUCUUAGGAAGUGUUAGUUCCCAGGAACCAUUCUUAAACACUUCCCAGACCUUCAAGAUUUGGGUAGUUCUAAUAUAUUAAGUACCUUGAGAAAUUGGUAGGCCGAACUCUCCUGCCUUUGUUUUAUCUACAACGAGGCCAUUACAAAAGCAAUGGGAUGGGGUCUGGCUGGGGGAAUGAAUGUGUAGAAUGGAAGUUAUUAUGAAAUUUCAUGGCGCAGAGAUGUGUGUUCAUACAAACAUGGCUCUUAGCCUCAAGAGCAACUCCUUCUGGAUGCUUGACCUAGGCCAAAUAUUCUUUCUGGUCAGCUUAAGCACAGUGAGGAUGCUCACUUCAUAAGAUUUCUCUAAGAAUAAAAAUGACUACCCCUGGUAAAGUAAUGUUAAUAAGGUGUCAGAAUAUGAGGAUUUAGUAUCGUUUCUGUAGAGAAGCAUGUACUUUAACAGCUGUCCACAGAGAAAACCUCUCAUGUAAGAAUGGAAAAAUCCUCGUGUGCUACCAGAGCCAAAGACAAAGCAACAGAUGUGCUUAUGACUGUGGGACAGUGCACAAAAGACUGUUUAUGAACAUCACCACCCUCCACACUAUCACAGUUGAAUGCUAAGAAAGAGCACAUAGGUCUCAUUUUACCCAUGGAAGAAAGUAAGAGUCUGGCAAGGAAAUAUUUGACUUCCACAUUUAUGUGCAUUGCCCUAAACCCAGCUAUUUUUCCAUUCCUUACAAAUUACUGAGGUAGUCAGCAUGGCUAAAGGGCAAGGAAAGUUUUGGAACAGGGAGGAAAGGUAGACGCUCAUAGAAACCAGGACUGGAAACUCGCAUCCUGUUCACCACUUAAUGUCACCUACUGCCCAGUAGGAAUUCUCCAAGAUAAAAGUAUUUACACAUGUCGUUCUGUAUUGUUGGCUCCUUGAACAUUUUCCUGUGGGCUAAAGCACAGCAGGCUUCUAUAGAUGGCUGCUGAGUGCACACACAAGGCCAUCUUGCCUGGAACUUGGAGGGGGAGCACAUUGAACAUUUCAAGACACAACUCUGGACAAAACCAAUUCAAGGCACCUAACAUUUGUCUUGGCCAUGCAGGAUCAAGAGAAAGCACACAAAUUUAACAGAUUCCCUCAUAGGUCUGAGAGAGAACAAGCUGAGAGCCUGUGUGUCCAUACAGAACGCCCAUGUGAGCCUCAGAACCUCUAAUCACUUCCUAGUGAUGGAAUUUCUCUACCAGCACUACUCAUUAGAAAAUGAAGGGUAGGCCACUUCUUUAUGUGAGCUGACAACAACAGAGACUUCAAGAGACUUGAAAAAUCAAGGAUAUGACAUUACAAAGGAACCUAAUAGUCAGAUACUGGACAUCAGCUGGUGAAUGGAUAGACAAAAUGUGCUAUACUGAAACAAAAAAGAUAUUGACAUGUUUCGCCAUGUGUUAGCCUCGAUGACACUGUGCUAAGUGAAAGUUGCCACAAAAGACCACAUAGUCCAUUUAUAUGAACUGCCUAGAAUAGGUGCAAAUCUGUACACUGGUGGAUGUCUAUAGCUAGGAGGACUGGAGGGAAUUGGCAGUGACUACUCAUGGUAUGACAUUUCUUUGUGGGCGAUAAAAUGUUCUGAAAUUGUGACAGAUAUAUGAUUCCUAGAAUAUACUAAGUCCGCUGAAUUACACACUUCAAGGGUAUAAACCACAGGCAUGUGGCAUACAUCUCAAAAAGGCUGUUACAUUAAAAUGAUCCCAACAGCACUUGACACUGAGUGAUACUGGCAAUUAGUGCCCCUUAAAUGAUAUGUACAGUGAUAUUUUUGCAACCCACCUUGUUCUAGUAACAGGAGAUUGCAUCCAUCCACAUGAGGUCCUUAUCUCUAGGAUGGCUACAUGGAUCGAGUGAGAGGGAAUGAACUUGAGUGUAAAAAAAAAAAAAUGCCUCUGACAAUUUUUACCUGUAGCCUUCAAGUAUGAAUGCUUGUUUUAUUUUCAUUUUAUUACCUACUUUUCCCAAGGAUAUGGAAAUAUGGUUUAUGCUCAGCAAGGCUUCAAAUGAUAGUACUUAUGAAUUGGCAAGUAGAUCUUUUUAGGGGGCACCAUUGACCAUGUGUAAAGAAGUGAGCAGGCUCACACUGGUUAAGGCUGAUGAGAAAUGCAAUUUUCCCCUUGCAUGGCCUGUUGGUACACCUGGGAAGAGCUAGCCUCUGUACCAUAAUAUCUGUCUCCCCUGCUUUUUCCCUUCUUAAAUGACUACCGAGGAAAACUCUGGAAGUAAAAGCUUUGACUCAGAUUUCUGGAGUAUAAAACCUACCUUGGUUCUUUCCAUGGAGGAGAUAAUACAGAAUCUCUACUCCUAGUUAUCUCCAGUCCCUUGUAUUUAGACCACUUUGGAUGGAUGGAGAAAGAGAAAUCGAUAGUCUGAACCAUGUGUCAGACCUCUGCAGCAAAGAAUAAUCGAUGACUCUAUUCCGUGAACUCUCUCAGAGGAGCCAUUCAGCUAGCACUCAGUGUAUCUCCAACCAUCCCCGUGUUCCCUACAGUUCUCCCACACAGACACUGUGCAGGUACAGGUGUCAAUACCAUGGCUGUACAGAUGAGAGAAGUCAGGGUGUAGAGAAGUCUAUUUUGCUCACUGUCAUCCAGCAGGGCAAUAGAAAGUUGGAAUUCAAAUGCACCCUUUUUUGACAACGAACUUCUACAGCUCACGAAGCCAAAUAGAGUGCCUGAUUUUACUUUCAUAUGUUCUUUCUCAACAGUAAAUGUUGAGGUGUAUCAUAAAGCAUUAUAGGAAAGAAAGUCCACUGACAAAAAUAGCAUGGGAGAUGCACUGAAGGGAGAUGGCUCUCCUUCCGUCAUUCUGUGGUAGGGUGAUUCCUUCAGGAAGCAAACCUUUUUGUUACUUCUAUGUCUCGAGUCCAUGGACUUACAUGGUAAAAUAUUUGAAUCUGCGCCAUCAUAUAGAGAUAAAUGCUACUGCUGAUUAAUGAACAUUGGCAUAAGCAUUUUGCUAAAGCUUUGUUAAAAUUUCAAUGAUUUAUUUUUGCUACUUAAAACCCUGGUUUGGGCUUUUUAUCACUGGUGGUAGUCAAUUUUCCAUGAUUUAUUGUGACAAAAUGCCUAGGAUAAUCAAGCCUAAAAGGAGAAAUAUUUUAGUUCACACUGUUGGUGGUUUCUGCCUGCAGGUGUUGACGGGGUUGCUUUGGGGCCUGCAGCAAGGCAGCACGUCAUAAUGUCAGCAUGCCAGGACAGAGGAAAGGACAAGUGUCUCUGUAGCCUCUUCAAAUCACAACCCCAUGAUCUGACAUCCUUUCACUGCGCUUCAACCCUUCCCACAGAUUAGAGAACAAGCCUGGGAUUUAGGGGAGUACUGAUCCAAACACCAACAGGACUCACCGCAGUCCAAGACCUCGUUACCUCUCCAAGUAGAUGAGUCAGCUACUUAACAGUUAUCGAUUCUCUCUUUAAUCCCCAAGGUCAUUCCAACAGUAAAGUUUCAUCUUUUCUAACUUCUCUAAGAGGGAGUUUCCAUAUGUCACCACUACAAAGUCAAAAUUAUCUUUUAAGUUUAUUUAAAUAAAUAAAAAGUUUUAUGUUCUGUGCA
rnacentral:sRNA from 1 species